GGCAGCACCUAUGCCAAAUGCUAAAAUUUGGAAUGAUACAGAGAAGAUUAGCAUGGCCCCUUGCACAAGGAUGACAGGAAAAUUGAUGAAGUGUUCCGUAGUUGU
ensembl:snRNA U6 U6 spliceosomal RNA